UACAGAGGUCUCAAGCGUUGUUCGGAUUCAUUGGGCGUAAAGGGUGCGUAGGCGGCUAGGUAAGUCGGAUGUGAAAUCCCGAGGCUCAACCCCGGAACUGCAUUCGAUACUGCUUAGCUUGAGUGCUGUAGAGGAGAUUGGAAUUUACGGUGUAGCAGUGAAAUGCGUAGAUAUCGUAAGGAAGACCAGUGGCGAAGGCGAGUCUCUGGACAGCUACUGACGCUGAGGCACGAAGGCCAGGGGAGCAAACGGG
rnacentral:rRNA from 1 species